GUUCCUCAGUCACUGAUUUUGUCUAGGAAAUUUCAGCGAACAGGGUGCAGUAUUUGGUAAUUUCACUUUGCCGACGUGGCGUUUUACUAUUUGUUAUUAAGGGCGACUAAGGGAAACAAGUGGGCAAGUUGGUGGCGGAUUUACAAAAGUGCCCUCGUUGGUGGUUUUGGUUUGAUUAGUCAAACACUACGAAGUGUAAUUAAACGUGGAGUUUUAGCCGAUUGUAGGGAUUUAUACGGCGAUUUUGUCACGUGUUCUAAGUAUUUUU
rnacentral:misc_RNA from 1 species